GCCGCCGCCGCCCACGCCUCAACUCGGCAGCUCAGCCAGCGCUGCAUGCUGUCCGCCCUCAGCCCAGCAAGCCGGCCCUCGAGCUCCGCUGGGCAGCGCAGGGCCGGCAGUAUAGAGUCCGCCGGCCCCGGACGGCCCCGGGUUAAUCCAGUGCAGAAACAGCUUCAUCUUGUUAUCCAAGCCAACUUCUGGAGCUUCUGGAAGGAUGAUGCUCUUCCAAGCUGAGAAAUGAUCACAGACCAGACUAGCAGCUGGGAGACUGCAAAGAAGAAGAGAUUACCUUUUCAUGAGAAACAGCAGCUUCCACAACUUCUCGGCUUCUUCCUGUGAAGUUCUCCUAGCUGAAGAAACAGAAGAUAGUGAGUGUUAUGUGGAACUGGAGAGGAUUCAGGGACAUCCUAUAAGAAGCUGAAGGCCUUUUAAUGAGAAGAUACUGAAAACCCCAGAGUCAGAACACUAAGUCACAUCUGUGUAUAACUUAACCGUUUACGAUGUGUUGUUCUGCACCUUGUCUCAUUUGUCCUUCACCAUCACACUGGGAGUGAGGAAGGAUCAUCACAUGCCCAUUUUAUGGAGAACAAGACUGAGAGUUGAAGAGACUUCCACAGGUUUGUAAAACUAGUAAAUGACAGAGUUGAGGACUUCUGCCCUAAUUCCUCAUUCUUUAUUCUCAGGAGGAUAAGAUAGAGAAUUUUUUAAUGUGCCUAGGCUCUGAUUUUCCACCCAAGGAAGUCUUCCAUGAGAAAUUGUCCCUGGGGGGUACUAGAGUCUGCAGUGGUUAGAGCACCUGCUGUUAGCAGCAGGGGUCAUAGAGGGUCAGGAUCCGUGGGAACCUCACUCACAGCAGAAGUGAAUUAGAGGAGAGACUGGGACUUUACCUCUUGAUGUUCUAUCUCCAGACUUUUGUUGGACUCUUCGGUGACACUUAAAGACAAAAACAUUAGAAUGCAAAGCUGCUACACCAUUUUUUCCCAUAUCUAAAAUGAAACAAAACUCAUAAACAUUUCCUGGUCUU
ensembl:lncRNA novel transcript, antisense to FAM205C